AUUGAACGCUGGCGGCAGGCCUAACACAUGCAAGUCGAACGAGAGGCGGACGGGUGAGUUAUGUCUGGGCAACUGCCUGAUGGAGGGGGAUCACUACUGGAAACGGUAGCUAAUACCGCAUACCAUCAGAUGUGCCGAGAUAGGUUUAGCUUGGUGGUGGGGUAACGGCUUACCAAGGCGACGAACCCUAGCUGGUCUGAGAGGAUGAACAGCAACACUGGAACUGAGACACGGUCCAGACUCCUACGGGAGGCAGCAGUGGGGAAUAUUGCACAAUGGGCGAAAGCCUGAUGCAGCCAUGCCGCGUGUAUGAAGAAGGCCUUCGGGUUGUAAAGUACUUUCAGCGGGGAGGCGUUACCCGCAGAAGAAGCACCGGCUAACUCCGUGCCAGCAGCCGCGGUAAUUC
rnacentral:rRNA from 1 species